UCAUAUAUAGAGAUUCAUUGACCAUAUGAAAUAAUAAAACCCCGUUAACGUUGUAGUUCCUUUCUAUAGUACAUAAUCAAUAGCCUAAGGUCGAAACCGCAAAAUAUUUAAUAAACCACAAAAUUAAAGAAAUUCCCAAGAAUAGGAAGUGGAUACUCCAUUAGAAGAUGAAGGAAUCACUGAACUGGACCUGGUCUCAAUAUGGUCUCUUAUUUUUGAAGAAUAAAAUGUUCUAACGUAUUUUUUUUUUAUUUUACUUUAAAACGUUCGUAAGAUACCUACUCAAGUGGCAAAGAGAAACCAGUGCGAAAUUUGAAGCAGAGGGGUAGAAGUGCAAACUUUUUUUUUCAAAUUUUCUAAUAUUUUCAAUGAUGAUAAAUACUAACUUUAUAAAAAUAGUCACAAUUAAAUAGAUAGAAUGUAUAAUAUUAAUUCAAAAUAAGUCCAUAAGUAUAUAAUUCACUGUAGAAUUUACUAUGUAAAAUUAACUUUGACUUCGUUUUUCUCAACUAAACCAUUUUAUCACUUGUACCCCUUAGCAUCUAAGACCCUCAAUUGUGAAAUUUGUUUGAAGCAGUUUAUUGUCUUGGAUAAUAAAAUAGUGUCAUUCUGACAAGUUUAUGAUUGUGAAAACCAGCAGGUGUGCCUCUCACCCACGAUUUGGCUCUAGAGGUGUUAAAUGAUGGUAACUAGUCCGAAAUAGAAGAUUGAGAUGGCGAAAAUGAUGUUGCUUUUGACGUUCAAAUGUUUAAAAAUAACACCGAUGACAAGGAUAUUGAAGAAACUCUAUUAGAUGAAGAACCUGUUUCUUCAAUGAGCUCUUCUUCAGGAAGGAGGCAAUGGAAAAACAUGACAUUUCAGCAAAAAAUUUUUGUUCUAUUUUAGUUAGUAUGUAAUAGCAUAUUAAACAAUUAUAAAAAUAAUUUUUAUUUGGCCCUAAUGGUGUUUUACGUUUAAUAAAAAUGAAUUUUUUCAUACACUUACGAUCCUGCAUUCAUAGAACAUAAGCCGAGAGCGCACGAACGUGACAUGUCAUUUGUGACAGAUUCAAACAAUGAUUUUUUUCUGCAUUUUUACACCUUUUUAGAUACCGUAUAUCGUAUUUAUUCAAAGGGAAACUUCAUUUUCACUAAAAAAAAAAA
rnacentral:lncRNA from 1 species